GACGAACGCUGGCGGCGUGCUUAACACAUGCAAGUCGAACGGAAAGGCCUCUUUCGGGGGGUACUCGAGUGGCGAACGGGUGAGUAACACGUGAGUAACCUGCCCUUGACUUUGGGAUAACUUCAGGAAACUGGGGCUAAUACCGGAUAGGAGCUCCUGCUGCAUGGUGGGGGUUGGAAAGUUUCGGCGGUUGGGGAUGGACUCGCGGCUUAUCGGCUUGUUGGUGGGGUAGUGGCUUACCAAGGCUUUGACGGGUAGCCGGCCUGAGAGGGUGACCGGCCAAAUUGGGACUGAGAUCCGGCCCAGACUCCUACGGGAGGCAGCAGUGGGAAUAUUGCACAAUGGGUGGAGGCCUGAUGCAGCAACGCCGUGUGCGGGAUGACGGCCUUCGGGUUGUAAACCGCUUUCGCUCAUGACGAAGCUUUGUGUGACGGUAGUGGGUAAAGAAGCACCGGCUAACUACGUG
rnacentral:rRNA from 1 species